AAAAUAAUUUCUUUUGGCAUCCUUCACACAUCAGAAUGAUAGGACUCAAUGUUCAAUUGACAUGGUUUUUGUGCAGCUGUAGAUUUUCUAUGUGGCAUACUCAUCAAAUAUGAGUGAUUUCUAUCAAGUAAAUAAUAAUUAUAACAGCUUUCUAGACUAGGGUCCUGUUUUGUGUAAAAUCAUUACUUUCUCUAAACUAUUAUGUAAAAGUGACCCUUUCCAAGAAAGGAGAGCUCAAGAAGUCCCUGUAGCACUUUGGGAUGAAAUAGAUUCUGAAAACAAAAUAGGACAAAAUUGUUAUGAGAAGAGAAAGAAAGAAGCCCAUCUGUCACCAGACAGGAUUUGCUUCGCUUACAUCUGAAAGAAAACUUUGGCUUUCUGGAGGUCUGGCUGGGAGUCUGAAGAACAAAAGCACAUCAGAAUAAAACCCACAACAAAUAUUUAAUUAAAUAUUUUAUACUGGGAUGAGCAGAAAGAAUGGUGACUGUUAAACUGCAAAACUUCAGACUAGAUCAAGUGCAAAGAUGCUGAUUGAAGCACUGACUGAAAGCUUUGCCUGUUCUGAUGACUCUGAAUAAAAUCUCUGAGGAAAAAAACCCAUAUAUUUCACAUUGUUUUUGCUGAUAUUAAAACAAUUUAAGCAGUUUUUCAGACUCAAUAUGUGCAGAGUGGUAAUACAUAGAAAUUCAUAAGGAAAUUGUGCAUAUAAAAAGACUUGAAAUUAGAUUAUUGGUCCCAAACUAUAGCGAAGAGUACUCAAAUAUAUCAAGUGAUUAAUUUUAAAUCCUCAAGUAACUAGAAUUUGUAAGUACAGGAAAAUCUAAUUUAUGAUAUUAUGAUAUUUAUUAUUCUACACAGGUGAUUUAACAUACACAUUCUGUUGAAAUACCUAUGAAAGAAAGAGCUUCUUUCUAAUGAAAAGAUUUAUUUGGCAUAAGUAAGCAGCAAAAGGUUCACAUUUUAUAUAGCUUUUGCACUGGCAUCUGAAUUUCGUUUAUUGAAAAAAUGUGUUGAAAGUAUUGUUUCUGAAUCAUGAAUCUAGAAUUCCAUCUACAGCAGGGUCUAAUGACUGCAUCUGCUCAGAAGAAUCCCUUAAUCUCUGAAAGCUGCAUGGAAAACAACAAGCAAAACUGAUUUUGUGCUAACCAUAGCUCGUUUUUAUUCUUUCAGAAAGAUGGAGUUAUGUGCUCCAAUCCGGUGUCACUGGAACUUGUACCUUCAUCUCACUGAG
ensembl:lncRNA